GAAAGCCACGGCUAACUACGUGCCAGCAGCCGCGGUAAUACGUAGGUGGCAAGCGUUAUCCGGAAUCAUUGGGCGUAAAGGGUGCGUAGGUGGCACGAUAAGUCUGAAGUAAAAGGCAACAGCUCAACUGUUGUAUGCUUUGGAAACUGUCGAGCUAGAGUGCAGAAGAGGGCGAUGGAAUUCCAUGUGUAGCGGUAAAAUGCGUAGAUAUAUGGAGGAACACCGGUGGCGAAGGCGGUCGCCUGGCCUGCAACUGACACUGAAGCACGAAAGCGUGGGGAGCAAAUAGGAUUAGAUACCCUAGUAGUCCACGCCGUAAACGAUGAGAACUAAGUGUUGGGGAGACUCAGUGCUGCAGUUAACGCAAUAAGUUCUCCGCCUGGGGAGUAUGCACGCAAGUGUGAAACUCAAAGGAAUUGACGGGGGCCCGCACAAGCGGUGGAGUAUGUGGUUUAAUUCGACGCAACGCGAAGAACCUUACCAGGUCUUGACAUCAAGUGACAGUCUAAGAGAUUAGGCCUUCCCUUCGGGGACACAAAGACAGGUGGUGCAUGGUUGUCGUCAGCUCGUGUCGUGAGAUGUUGGGUUAAGUCCCGCAACGAGCGCAACCCUUGUCUUCUGUUACCAGCAUUAAGUUGGGGACUCAGGAGAGACUGCCGGUGACAAACCGGAGGAAGGUGGGGAUGACGUCAAAUCAUCAUGCCCCUUAUGACCUGGGCUACA
rnacentral:rRNA from 1 species